GGAAACCAAAACAAUCUGAUAUGCGACUGUUGACCUUCAGGCUCAGAAUGAUUUUUAUGCAUUUGGGAGCUAAUAUUUCCACCUGCAAAUUAGGAACUAUUAUGUGUAAUAAUGAUUUAAUGUCCUCCACUUAGCAGGAGGACAAGAAGAAACCCGCUGACAUUUCCCUGCCUGCAAAAGCUAAUUUGGAGUUGUAUAUUAAUUAACGGUAUUGAUGCAGAACAAACCAAUUGGAAUUAAGAAUCCCAGGACUGCAUUGGGAAGACCCUAACGAUAGGGAAGAAACAGAUGAAAGAUCUCCUAUCUUGAGCUGACAUUCUGGUUGAAGAAAAAAAAAACACUGUAGGUUCCUAUUGAUAUUUUGAUCCAUCAGAACGGCAUCAAGAGCCAGAUUUACUGCACAGCUCUGAAGUUCCUUACGAGGCAAGGAGAAGAUCAAAGAACACUGACCUGUACAUACAGAACUAAAAGGACAACAGAGAAAUAAAAACAAACGUACUCCAUGAUCUUUUGGGGGCGGUGGUUUCACGCAUGCCAUGCUGUGAGUUGUCACUGCCAGCGUCUCUUCCCUCCGUAUACCAUCCACAACCUGGAACAAACGUUGCUAAGGACAAACUAUGCCCAACCAAAGAGCUCCAGCCAGCUAGAAGUAUGUGGACAAGAUCGCAACCUGAACUUUGGGAGCUGUUUUUAUUUCACAAGCUGCUGUUGUCUUAAGCACUUACGAUGUGGCCUGGAAAAGACAAAUAGUCUUCUGAAAAUAUCUCUACAGGAAGAGCCUUCUCCCCAGUACCUAUAAAACAUUCAUAACACCUUCAUUGUGCUGUAAAUCCUUAGCAGGAGUUGAUAACAGUGCAUGAAUUUUUAAUGUAACAUUUAUAAAUGGUUAUUAAAACUAUCCUUAAAGUAAAGUGUCAG
rnacentral:lncRNA from 1 species